rnacentral:ribozyme from 12 species
AGAAACAACGAGGACGGCGCGAGAGAAGGAGGAAAUCGAAUCGAAAGGAAGAAGGCGAUUGAUUCAAUUUCUUUUUUUGUAUUUCGUUCAAUUUUGGGGAUGGAAAAUCAACGACAAAAAU